ACUGCUCAGUAACACGUGGAUAACCUACCCAAUAGCCUGGGAUAACCCCGGGAAACUGGGGAUAAUACCGGAUAGAUCAUCUUUGCUGGAAGGCUUGGUGGUUGAAACCGUAAGGGCUGUUGGAUGGGUCUGCGGCUGAUUAGGUUGUUGCCGGUGUAAUGUACCGUCAAGCCUGUAAUCAGUACGGGUUGUGGGAGCAAGAGCCCGGAGAUGGAUUCUGAGACACGAAUCCAGGCCCUACAGGGCGCAGCAGGCGCGAAAACUCUACAAUGCAGGCAACUGCGAUAGGGGAACAUCGAGUGAUCCUCAUAUUGGGGGUCUGUCCACCCGCCUAAAAAGCGGGUGUUAGCAAGGGCCGGGCAAGACCGGUGCCAGCCGCCGCGGUAAUACCGGCGGCUCGAGUGGUGGCCGAUAUUAUUGAGUCUAAAGGGUCCGUAGCCGGCUUUGCAAGUCUCUCGGGAAAUCCAGCGGCUUAACCGUUGGUCGUCCGGGGGGUACUACAUUGCUUGGGACUGGGAGAGGCGAGAGGUACUCAGGGGGUAGGAGUGAAAUCCUGUAAUCCUCUGGGGACCACCGGUGGCGAAGGCGUCUCGCCAGAACAGGUCCGACGGUGAGGGACGAAAGCUAGGGGCACGAACCGGAUUAGAUACCCGGGUAGUCCUAGCCGUAAACGAUGCUCGCUAGGUGUCACAACAGUCGUGAACUGUUGUGGUGCCGUAGGGAAGCCGUGAAGCGAGCCACUUGGGAAGUACGACCGCAAGGUUGAAACUUAAAGGAAUUGGCGGGGGAGCACA
rnacentral:rRNA from 1 species